rnacentral:rRNA from 1 species
UACGGGGGGGGCGAGCGUUGUCCGGAAUUACUGGGCGUAAAGGGAGCGUAGGCGGUUUUUUAAGUGGGAUGUGAAAUCCCCGGGCUCAACCUGGGAAUUGCAUUCCAAACUGGGAGACUAGAGUGCAGGAGAGGAAAGUGGAAUUCCAAGUGUAGCGGUGAAAUGCGUAGAGAUGCGGAGGAACACCGAUGGCGAAGGCAGCCCCCUGGGCUAACACUGACGCUCAGGCACGAAAGCGUGGGGAGCAAACAGG